UUGGACACUUUUUAAGCAACGCAAUGUCAAUUUAUCGAGCUUAUGAAAGGGAAAGUGAAAAAAACUCGCGAACCUUGCAUUCGCUCAGUUUACUUACUACACGUUAUGAGUAGUAUGUAGCGCGCAAUUUUCCGCUGGGAAA
rnacentral:sRNA from 3 species